rnacentral:rRNA from 1 species
GUAUGGUAUUGGCUUACCGUGGCAGUGACGGUUAACGGGGGAUUAGGGUUCGAUUCCGGAGAGGGAGCCUGAGAAACGGCUACCACAUCUAAGGAAGGCAGCAGGCGCGCAAAUUACCCAAUUCUAACAGUUUGAGAGAGGUAGUAACAAGAAAUAACAAUACAAGGCAAUUAAAAUGCUUUGUAAUUGGAAUGAUAGAAAUUUAAACCCUUUUUAAAGUAUCAAUUGGAGGGCAAGUCUGGUGCCAGCAGCCGCGGUAAUUCCAGCUCCAAUAGCGUAUAUUAAAAUUGUUGCAGUUAAAAAGCUCGUAGUUGAAGUUCUGCUAAAAGUAACCGGUCUGCUUUUAAUAAAAGUGGUAUCUUGGUGUGUAUUUAGCAAUGAUGUCCUUUGAAGUGUUUUUUACUUUAUUGUAAUAAAGCAUAUUCAGGACUUUUACUUUGAGAAAAUUAGAGUGUUUCUAGCAGGCCGACGCUUUGAAUACUGCAGCAUGGAAUAAUAAGAUAGGAUUUUAGUU